UCCAGCAACAAGAAGAAGGAAAAGGAUUGAAUAGAGGACCUCACGAACAUUUGGCGAUCUCAGAUGUGUCGAUAUCAACGAUGACUCAUUAUUUCGAUGAAUCAUUUCUUCGGACAGAAGAAGAUUAUGUAAAGACUUACUCGAAAUCUCACUUAUCAGAUUCCUUUGUGGAAGACACAAUUUUUUCUGAAGAAUUCGCCAUGAUAUAUCUAAUCCAUACAUAAUAUCAUGAAAAAUGGAUACAAAUUUUUGACUGCUACUUAGUAUCCGCAAUAGGUCUGAAAAAAUAUCUAAAAAUAUCAAAUUUAGAUAUUUGUACCCUGUCGAAGUAAAGAACCAUGGCAUAUAUGUUUGGAAUAGAUUCCAUUUUGAGAGAGUUGAAAAAGCACUAUCUCGUUGAAAGGUUCUAUCCAUCUGCCCUUUGUCAACGCAUUUUUUUAGGCAAAGACUCCGUUUUUUCCUCUGUAAAUAUUUCUCAGAACAUGGAGUGUGAAUCAAACCCACGUUUGAAUUGAAAUUGAGAUACUGAUGCAAGCUCUUCUCUUCUGAAUCGGAUAGAUUCAUAUCUGAAAGAGUUUGACAAUACGUUCUUUCCAAAUUUACUCUUUGUCCCUCUAUUAGAGGUGUUCCAGAAAUGUCUGCAAUCGAGUAAAUAGCUCUACGAACUAAUGGAUCGGAUCGAAUUGGAAAAUGGAAAGAUUUGUACAAGUUAUACCUUUCGUCACCACUUUGUGGAAAAUCGUUAGAUAUGAAUAUGUUAGAUACCUGUGACUCGAUUGACGAAGGUGAAAUAGUAUCUCUCUCCAAAAAAGCAUGUUUUUUUUUACCACCACACGAAGAAAAUAUUUUGUUGUGAAUGAACAAGAUAGUGAGGAAUUGUCCAUACGUAAAAUCAGAAUUAUUGAGACGGGCCUUUUCCACAUAAAAAGGGAAUCUUUUGUUACAAUAGAAGCAGAAGUGAUGUGGAUUAUUCAAGAAUCGAAGUCGAUUUGCUUUAGAAAAAGAAGAUAUCAAUGAACUUCUCUGAAAUGGUUUCACGGGAUUCAGCCAAUUGUCUUGAUCGUGGGAUACGAUUGAGAAAUAGGAAUCCGUGUUAUCAAAAGAUUUCCUGCGAUUCUUUCUAGUAUGGAAUGAGUCAAUCAUCCACUUUGGUAUCUUAUUGAACAAAAAUGGUGAUAUUGUUCCUCCAUUGAUCAAGAAUUUCGAUUUUUGAGAAGUAUUAUGAUCAUCCAAUAAAAAGGGUUUCAAUUUUUUAAAAUGAACGAUUUGAAGACCUAUUGAUUCUAACAACUGAUUGCAGGGUUGAUCGUUCGGACCUUUCAAUUCAUAGAUGUGGAUCUCAGACCUAUGAAUGGGGAUAUUCUCGAAACUCACAAAGAAAAAAGGAAGUGAGUUAGACAAAAAGAGAAGUAACUUGGACAAAAAACGAAGUAACUUGGACAAAAAGAAACGAAGUGACUUAGACAAAUCUUUUUUAUCAAUAACCUCAGACCAAUCAAUCGAAUAUUGAUUAAUACAUAAUCGAUCGAACACUACUUGAAAACGGCUCUUCCGCUCAGAAACGAAAUGUUUCAAAUGCUCCUGGAAAUUCUUGCUCCCAUUGGACCAUUUGUAUCUAUAUGCAUUAGGAUCCCGAUUUAUGGAUCUCUCGGUUCGAGAAAGAAAAAUAAGAGGAUCGAACCAUUUCUUCUGACUCUUUUUCAAAUUCGAUAAAUGUUGGUUGAUCGUAUCUUUCAUUAUAGUUCUAUGAUUCAGAGUAUCAUUUCCUAUUAGAUCCCUUUGAAUUCCAUAUUCGAAGUUGCGAUCAGGUCUCUUCAUUAAAAAGAAUCGAUUCAAUACAUUUCUUAUGUACCCAUAGGGACUAUAUUGGAAUUGGAUUUGAAUCAGAUUUCGGAUCAAUCUAUAUUGAUUGACUGCCUCCAUUAUGUUGUUGCUAGCAAAUACCACUCUUUUUGGUUUUGGAUCUUCAAAAAAAUUCCCGCAGGAGAUCCGGACCCAAUUUUUUCUGAUCCUUCGAUAAAAAGAUUCAUUUUCUUCAUAAAAAAUAGGAGGUAGAACCAAUAAAGAUUUCUUUUUCAAUUCAUCCCUGGAGUUGAAAACCUCCUUCAAGAAUUGUCUUUGAUCCAAUCCGUAGGAAUCAAUAGAAAAGGCAAAUCCCGUAUGAUACACCAGAUCCGGCUCGGUUAUUGAUAGAGUGAAUAGAUCUGCCAUUUCUUGAAAUCUCUCUUCUGACUCAAAAUCGUGGCGUAACGUGUAUCCCCCCCUCUUCCGUUCAUGGAAUAGAUGAAAUAAAUAAAAAAAUGGAUUUUUGUUCAAGAAUGAAAUCUUAUUGGAACUGUCCAUAUCCAGUUCAUCCUUCGGAACCGUAUCACAUCCCAGAUCUGAUGAAAUAGGAUGAAUUGAGACGGUAUUUUGUAAAUACGUAAUUAUCUUGAAUAUAUUAACUAUUUCUUUAUUUUCCGAUCGCCUGGAAGGGACAAAAGAAACAUCUUGUUCUUUC
rnacentral:lncRNA from 1 species